rnacentral:misc_RNA from 1 species
ACACAUGACCGAACGCAAACCAAGAAAAGUUACCGGGCCCAACAGCAGCACAGCGUCUCUGGAGGUGGCGUUCAUCUUGCGGAGCCACCAGCCCCCCCCCGACACAUGUGCGUGAGCCCAUGUGUGCACGCGCAUAACUGAGCCAAGUCCCGGUCACUCGUGGAGGUCUCUGUAUACCUGUUGCACGUGCACCGCUGUCUGGCGUGGUGGGGAAGGGCAAUGCCAACGCGUGCUGAAGACCCCAACGCUUGCUCACUGCGCUCGCCCCUCUUUCCCACCCCUUAUAUGCUGAGGGAGGCAUGCAGAGUGAGAGCAACCUGCUUAGCGGCGAAUGACGCGCGUAAGAUGGAGGGUAGGAUGGAUGACAGCGCUGCUCCCCUCACUUGUGGAAAAGGCUGGCAGGCACGCUCCAAGGCCGCACUGCUCUCGUCGUUGUGAUUUUUUUUCUGUGCUUGCAUAUGCGUGACGCGUCUCUGCUGGGCAUUCACGGCCUCCCCCUCUGCCGCUCUCAUAAAGCGCCGCGGAACUCACUGCCCGGGUACCUGUGUGGGCGCCACGAUCACGGAG